AAGACUAUACUUUCAGGGAUCAUUUCUAUAGUAACUAACUCGGAAAUGUGAUUUGAAAGCGAUACGUCUCCCUAAUCACGAUGACGAGGUUUGAUGUUUUCUUCUGAGCGUGAAUCGGAUUGGAGCUUAUGAUUCUUUCAUGUGCUUUAGUUAUUGAUGAACGUUCUCUGCUUCUUAUGGAGCAGAAGAAGAAGAAUACAUGAUCAGAGUGAU